GCCGACAUAGCUCAGUGGCAGAGCAACGCUUUCGUAAAGCGUGGGUCGCAGGUUCAAAUCCUGCUGUCGGCU
rfam:Candidatus Staskawiczbacteria bacterium RIFCSPLOWO2_01_FTLL_37_25b rifcsplowo2_01_scaffold_5762, whole genome shotgun sequence.